GUGGACAAAAAACUGUUAAUUUUAUACAGAGUGUGUGUCGAAUGCCGCAACGAACGUGUUAAUGCAUAGUCGUCGAACGGGUGGCGCGGUUUGCAUUUUUUCCACUCGUCGAGGAUGCGACGCGGCGUUGGCGGAAAUGGGAGUACAGCAUUGGUUCGGGCACGAUACCAGAGGAACGUGGUUAUAAGAUGACAGGAUUGCUGCCAAAAAAAUCGUACAUUUUUUGAACGAUACUCCUACGCGAAGUAUUCGAAGCAACUAAAUUACAGAUUUCGCGAACUAGUAUUUGGAGAAUAUUACCAAACUGACAAAUGGUUGUCGCAUCGUGCCCCAACUAUGCAAGAAUUAUUCUCAACUGAUUAUCGAAAACGAGUCGAAUCCUGUGAUUGAUAUUCAAAUGCAGUGGAAAAUGACGAUUUAUUUUCAUCAAGGACAUUAUGGACGGGCGAGAUGAUUUGUGCGAAAUGAGAGAUUUUGAUCAAACAGUUGAUCAAAUUUUACGAACAAUGUAUCGUUACUGUACAGCUAAAAUGGAUGGAUGCAGUUAGAUGGUUGAACGUCGUACUAUGCAGAACAAGUUAGAAACUGGUUGCAUGAAAAUUAUUGGUCCUUUAACCAACGAGAGAACUGGAUUUUACACCUCUUGAUUUCUAUCUAUGGGAAACUCUAGAACAAAGGAUUUACAGU